GGAUGAUCUAAGAGGCUGUGUGCAGGUGCCGAAUUUUAAUACUAGAGUUGAGCAGAACUCCAACCUGUGCUCCCUUUGAGGGAUGUGGAUGUGUGUACAGCACCCAGGAGAGCCAGGCAUAGUGAGCACACAGCAGCAGGUUCCCAUCCCCAGGACCACACUGCCUGGGCUGGUUUCACAGCUGUUUGAGCACUGUUAUGAUUACCUGUGCUAUACAUCCCCUGCAACAGACACACAGCACCUUAGUGCUGGAGAGGGGCCCUACAAUGCACCAUAUAAUACUAAUAAACAUGAUUGUUAUAAAAAGAUAAGGUUACAGAACAUUACACUUUGCCAAACUCCAGUUGACUGUAAAUUUAAGUUUUGGCUGAGCCAAGAGCCAGGGAGAUUUUAAAAUUCAGCAGUAGUAGCUAUUCAGAGGGUUGUUCUAGUACUGCUGCCAGGAAAAACUUGGAGUGAAAGGUCUAAUUUAUCACACAUCGGGGUUGCUAACCUGUGCUCUGGGUACCAAGGCAGCUGCUUGUCAGGUUUCAGAAAAGCCUGGAGGAAUCCCUGCGUUUGGAAGUGGUGAGAAUGGCUGCUCGCUGUGCUGAGCAGGCAGUGUUACAGCCAUGGGAUGUGCCCUGCCUGCAUGGGCACGGAGCACUGAGCUGACCCUGUGUCACUCUGCCAUCCUCCCCACCACUAAGAAUGGAACAGCCCAUUUGUGAGCACAGCUUUGGUUGUAAAAGUGGCUUUUCACAUCAGAACGUGGUACAGCAGUCUGCUGAAUUUACACAGUGCAGGGGAGAGCAUCGUGCAAGGAUCCCGUUCAGUUCCUGCAGGCUGUGCUAUUCAAAUUGGUAACCAAGAAAGAGAAAGCAAGGAGAGAAGACGAGAUACCUUUCGGCCAACAUUUAUUUCCCUCGGCUGGGAAAGAGUUAAAUGAAAUAGGAAUGAUGGCAGUGGUUGGACAGAAGGAGAUUUGCAGCCUUGCUCAGCUCUGCACGCACGGAACUCAAACCCACCCUGUUCCUUUAGGAGGGAUCACAACACUCAGGAGCAGAACUAUCAGCCUCCAACACGACGCAGCUGCUCACGCUUACAGCUGCUUGGGCUCAGGCCCAGAUCAUCAAAGAGACUGCACUGCCUCAUUUCUAUUGAAAAAACCUGGGGUUAGACACCUAAAUACUUUUCAAAAGCCAGGUCCAAUGUUAUUAUUUUGUUUUAAAUUAAGAAAUGUGAGCCCAGACAAAAUUAAUAUUGUAAGUGUCUUAAUGGGCUAUUCUAAAAGAGUACUCAUAAUUGUUAUUGCUCUUGACUGGCUAAUAAAUUAUAUUUUUAUUUGCCAAUAAAACAAUAAGAAUAAUUUUUAGUUAUUCUCCCUUCAGAAGUUAUUCCUUGCUGCACAAGCCUUGGCAAACGGUACAACACACUACAG
rnacentral:lncRNA from 1 species